ensembl:lncRNA
AAGGAACUGGCUAGGCCCAGGAUGCGCAGGGGUACGAUGAAACCUGACACCCGGCAGUCCUUGGUCCAGCAGGGCCAGGUGGGGGCAACCAAUGGCGGCGGCAGGGUGUGUGUGUGUGCUUGAUGUAUGGCCAUAUGAGGAAAGAAGGAAUGCUGACAUAAUACUUGUUUGCCCGGAAAUUAUAAAAACCCUGGGAACAAAGAAAGGGGGUCUUGGUCUCCCAGCACUGUGUUGCACAGGAGGCCAAGGCCCCAGCAUGCUGACCUACAAGUACAGUCCCUUUGUUCUUCGCAUUUUGAUCUGUCACAGGGUGAUUGCAGAGGAGAAAUCCAGAUGCUGGGAGAGGGAAGGGACGGGAGCAGGCAGAAGCUCCUGCUGUGAUGCCGAGCGGCUGGAACAAGAACAAAACCUCCGUGCCCGGUCUUCACAGGAGGAAGGAGCCGACGUCCCCCAGCUAACCUGGCUGCUCCACCGCCCCACGCCCACGGUGCUUGUCCUCAUGCUGCCCUGCAGAGCCGCUUCUCAUGGCACACGGCUGACAGCCUCCUGAUACCUGCCAGUCAUCGCUAGCCACACACGCCAGGGUUUGCUGCCCCCAGGGGAAACCCAGGUUUGGUGACCUGGAGGCCCUGGUGCUGAGGAACAGGCCCGGUUCCCGGGCUGCCCUGCCUUUAAGGCCUUCUCUGGGGCAAGCUGGCAUCUUCCUGGCGCCCCCUGGUUGGCUGCCUCUGGUCCUGAGCAGAGAGGAGAAGGCAGUUUGCGUGCAGCAUUGCCUCCGUGGGAACACAGCUAUAUCAGGAGAGCCCCUCCAGUGAGGGGACCUCCACAGCUGCCACAUCCCUGGCUUCCGAUGUGGGGUCGGUGUCAGGGCCCGAGCAGAAGGGUGAGCAUGGGCUGAGCCCACCCUGGCCCACGGCAGCAGCUGGGAAAUGGAGCAGACCUGCUGCACGUGGGCGACACACACGGGGGUUCUGCCCGGAGCAGCCUGCUCACACCUCACCCCAUCCGCAUCGCCGUGUUGCAGAUGCUGAGAGCUUAGGGACUUGCAGGUGCCACGUGGAAUCUUCUCAUCACACCCCCCUGCCUCCCGUGGCACCCACGGGUGCAGACUGAUCAAACAUCAGCCUGGGGAGCAGCCUGUGGGCCUCCUGGUGCCGAGACAGCAGGGACAGUACCGUCCCCCGGAGUCCCCUUUCUCCAGGCGCUGGGCUUCCCCGGAAGCAGGCCCGGGCCUACUCGGGACCUGGUACACCCCGUGCUCGUACUCUUUCUUCUGGGGCCGGCACGGCAGCGCAGCAGGUUAAGCCACUGCCUGUGGCGCCGGCAUCCUGUAUGAGCUCCAGUCUGAGUCCCGGCUGCUCCACUUCCCAUCCAGCUUCCCAAUGGGAGACCCGGAUGGAGUUCCAGGCUUCUGGCUUUGGCCUGGCCGAGCCUUGUUACAACCAUUUAAGGGGUGAACCAGCAGAUGGAAACUCUCUCCCUCUGUGUCUCUCCCUCUGCCUCUCUCUCUGUAACUCUGCCUUUCAAAUAAAUAAAUAAAUAAAUAUUUAACA